CCUACGGGAGGCAGCAGUGGGGAAUAUUGCACAAUGGGGGGAACCCUGAUGCAGCAAUGCCGCGUGGGUGAAGAAGCACUCCGGUGCGUAAAGCCCUGUCAGCAGGGAAGAAAAUGACAGUACCUGGACAAGAAGCCCCGGCUAACUACGUGCCAGCAGCCGCGGUAAUACGUAGGGGGCAAGCGUUAUCCGGAUGUACGGGGUGUAAAGGGAGCGCAGGCGGCGUGGCAAGUCAGAUGUGAAAACCCGGGGCGCAACCACGAGAGUGCAUUUGAAACUGCCAAGCUGGAGUGCCGGAGAGGCAAGCGGAAUUCGUGGUGUAGCGGUGAAAUGCGUAGAUAUUAGGAGGAACACCGGUGGCGGAGGCAGCUUGCUGGACGGUAACUGACGCUGAGGCUCGAAAGCGUGGGGAGCGAACAGGAUUAGAUACCCCGGUAGUC
rnacentral:rRNA from 1 species